UGUGAUUAUCAGCCAUGUAACUUAAUGGGUAGAGUACUGGGCAUUGAGUUAGGUUAGCUGUGGUGGGGCUGAUGGGAAGUUUGGGGGUUGCUCCUCUGCUGGGGGGGGGACAGGGUCCUGGGUUCAAAUCCAGUCUCAGACCCUUAUGAGCUGUGUCAUCUUGCUAAAAUCAAUUCACCUGUUUUCCUGUUUUCUUAACUGUAAAAUGGAGGAAAGGACAGGUGGUUGUAUGAAUUAAAUGAAAUACGUGUAAGGCUUCUUAGCACAGUACAGCAGACAUUGACUACAAGUGGAUUGAUUUAUUGGUACAAUGCAAGACUUUUAAACUCGAGGGCCUGGCUUUGACUCCUACUUCAGAUUUUAAACUAGCUGUCCUGACUCUGGGAAAGCUAGAAAGCUUAAAUGAAGGUAUAACAGAAUGUAGAAUAAGCAAAAACAAUUCAUGCCCACCAUACAGUUACAAAGCAGAAAAAGGGGAAAAGUUAAGAAUUGUUGAUAAACUGCAAGAUAUUUUGUGCAAGAAAUAUGGACUUUCUCAAAAAUAAAAAAGAUAAAAAGA